rnacentral:lncRNA from 1 species
GCUAAAGUACUUGCACAGCAGUGAGAGACGCGUGAUUUCACUGGAACUGUAUUUCACAAGGAAAAUGGAUCCAUCAGGUGACCUAGAUGAGGAUGAUGACCUUCUUGAUGCUGCAAUCCAACUGAGCAUUGAAGAGUCAUGUAAAGAAAUCGCCUCUCUCGGAAGUGUGGAACAUCAAAAGAUCUUGGAUGCAAUAUUUCGAGGUGAA